UGCAUAGUAAGCUACGUAUUUAAAUAUUAAAUCAGUUCUUGGUAGAAACACGAACAGUUGUCGAACCCGGAAGUCGAUUUAUACACAAGCCGUGCUUUUCAGGUUUCUUGCAGUUUUGUCCUCAAACUCAGCGACCAAUAGCUGUAUAUCUUGUUGACGAUUCACUUUUUUUGCCUAAAGCAUUAGAACCGUCAUGGCAUCGAAUCAGUCACAUCAAUGCACCAUAUCGUCUGAUGGAAAAUAUCAAUAUCAACCACUGCGUCUCUAUCAUUUUCUGGGAGAUGAAAAGCCUAAACCUGAAACUCCGCAACCGGUGAUUUUCGUACCGGAAAUGCCGAAUGGUCCAUCUGGCGUUCCCCCAAAACAACCACAGUAUAACAUGUAAAGUUCUGCCCCCAACUGCCAAUUCCUCCACCACAAGUUCCUCAGCCUCUUCAGCCAUCUUCUCAGCCUCCACAGCCAGCUUCUUGGCCUCUGCAGCCAUCUUCGUAGAAGUAAAAUAUGGUAGAGUUCGUUACCAUAUGAGAAGGUUGAUGAGACAACGAUACUAUUGUAAAGUAGAAGCUGUUUUUGUACAAUGAACCAAUGGAAUUUGUGUGUAGGGGGAUUGACUUAAAUACAGAACAAACGAUUUUAUUUUGAUAAACUUUAGUAAUGGUUAAUAACAUUCAUAUUGAGAAAUAAAAUGAAUACAAAACAUCUAUAAGUACAUUAUACAAACAACAAUCUUAAGAUCCAUUGAAAAUAUUGUAGACUUUAAUUUAGUUUUCUUUUUUAAAUAUUUUGUCUUUAAACUUAAAACUUUCUUGUCAUAAGGGUUUAAAAAAAAAAAUAGAAGAGUUUUACAAUCAUUCAUGACGACAUCUGUCUGAUGGUACAUUUGAAAUAAAUAUUUGUAAAACUGCAUUUCUGUUUCAUUUUUAAAUGCCAAUCUAUUUUAGAAAUUCUGUAAUGACCAAACUCAAGCGUAUCACACCGAUUUGGUAAGACCCAACGCUUUUCAUCGAAGGCACACAGACCCGACUUGUUGACGGCAUAAACGUACAGUUUGUGUUUAUCGCUUCUAAUCGAAUUCAUUUUACACAUUUUAAUUUUGUCUUCGAAUAAACAGUACCUACAUAUUUCGUGCCUUAUAUCGCCUCUAACGGUCGUCUUUGCAAUACCUUUAGCUACCUGAUUUUUGUUCAUAUCGUUAUAAAGGACAGUAAGAUUAUCUAUUUCUAUCCGUUUGCGCACGACAUAGUCGGACGAGUACAUGUUAGCGCGUAUUCCUACAUACUGUGCAAUGGGUUCGCUUCCUGUUUCGUCCUUGAAAUACCGGGGUAUCUUUUUGUUCUUUGUAUCGUAACAACGAUGGUCGACCGGAUGUCGUCAUAGACGUCUCGGCAUUGAACGUGAUACAAAAGACUGUCCGUGUCCGUCAUGAGUAACUUUAUUCCAUCUCCAUAUCUCGGUUUUAGGUACUUGUAAUAAAACUCGUACAUGAUACAUUUCGAUAGAUCUAGAAUGGUCUGUCCUACAUAAACGGGUGUGUUCAAUACUUGUUUCACUUUAUCGUUCUGAAUGGCUACCAAGCCUUCGUUAAAGAUGUUCUAGCCACGUACUUUUUGAUUUUUAUGUCCGUGUGUGCCAGCUUGAUAUCGACUCUAGAUCGCACGUUCUCCAUCGUCUUACCGAACACGGAAUUAUUCAUGAGUUUAAAGAAAUCUUUCUCGAACUCGUUCUUACAUGUGACUCCUUUGGUCGUGUUGAAUAGUAUAUACGGGCGUAACCAAGCUUUUGUUUGAAUUCUAGGAUUCUGUGGAUUUUGGUGACUUUCAGACCCAAUUCCACGUACAACUGUAGAUUUCUAUAAUGACAGAUGUAUUUCGUCUUGUGUUCUAAUGUUGGAAUCAGUUUUUCUGGCGGUACACACCCUUGUAAUUUGUCAUCGGUGUAUUCGGGGUUAGGAUGUAAAGUUUUCCAUAGCUGUUUACUGGUUGGUGAUAAUGUAAUAGUCGUCUUUAUCCGGGAUAAAUGACAACUCCUGUUUUUUUUUCUUUUUUCUUUUAGUUUUGUUUAUUACUUGUAAAAACCCUGUAACAUGAAAUACAAUAUAUUACUAUACAUAUUGUACAUUCAUACAAUCACAUAAGCUAAAACAUGUCAAACAAUACCUGGCCGUAGUCAGUUACAUAAGUUACAAUAGUGGAAUACGUAUUUUACAAACUGACAUUCAAUCUAUAUAUUAUAUAGAAAUUACAGUUUACACUUUAUCUAAUUAUACAGCAUAAUUCCAAAUAUAUUAAAAGCAAUAAUGACAAAUAAUGACACUACUACAACAAUUCUUUGUCGGAGAUUUUUGUUCGUUCCAGAGCGAGGGGGUAAUCGGAAUGACUGUCAUGGAGUUUGUCUGGGUAUUCCAGAUCUACUUCUAGUACGUUCCCCAAGUCUUCGUCUUUGGUGACUUUGGUUAUGUCAAAUGUUUGUGGGUUUUCAACCCAUUGAAACCCUCCCACGGGUAACGAUUUCGACAUGGCCUUCCCGUACAAGUUAUUCCAAUCCGUAUGCAUGAUGUAUGAGUGUGGUUGGGAGAGGUCGUACGUUUCUGGAAUGUAAGGAUUGUUAGAUUGAGCGUAUUUGUUAGAGAUCAUACUACAUGAAACACAACUUCGUACCCCGUUUUCGAAGAAAAAGAUACAUGUCUGGAUCUCUGUUGAGUUCUAACCUCACUACCGUCAUUUUCAGGCUGCACUCCGAGCCAGACCUGAACUGGUAUAGAAGUGAGCUGCAUCUAACCCGUAAUACUCCAGGCACAUGUUUCUGAAGUUCUCGAAGACACUGGCCAAUAGUAGCACGUCCGUCUUGAGAUAGAGAUCGUGAUACUGACCGAGGUCUAAAAUGUUCAGUUUCUUCCAUACGUUCUUCGCAUGUGUGUAAACGGCAUCUGACACGUGUGAUCGACUCAACGAACUAUAUAAUUUCUCUUUUGGAGGGAGAUUUUGUUCGAAAUACCGAUCGGGGUUGUCCACGUACUCGUAGGGAUAUACACCUUUUCUGAGAAGCAAUUUGGCUUCUGAUUCAGAAAAUUCUCUGGAGAAGUUAUUAAAUUUCACCAAACCCUCUUUGGCAAGAUUUUCAGUCAGAGUCUCUAGGCUCUGAGACAUAAACUGAAACGAAUCUAUGAAUCUAAUGUCACCCAGACUAAACGUACAUGGGGUAAACGGUUUUAUCCUCGACACCAAACACGUUUACUGCUAUAUCGUUCUGUCUUUCAAAUUUGUUGAUUUGAGAGAUGGAGCAAGAUACUUGAUACCUGUCAUAUAUAAUUCGCAUUCGUACGAGAAGAAAAACGCGUUCGGGUAGGGUAUUGACCGGAUGGAGAGACGUCCAAAACGACCAUAAGAAGCACUUUUCGUCACGAUUGAGGAUAUUGAUCAAAUAGUGUGUACGAAAAGUCGAUGGAGUCGGUAUGUAAGAGGAACCAUGCAGAGGUGAGUAACGUGUAUUUCCAGCUAGAUGAUUUUCUUGAGUACCCAUGCAGACCCUUGUCGAACGAAUUCCUCCAGUGAGGCAAACAUUUUCUGAUAAGCGUCAUUGAUAUCAUGUCAUAGACCCGAUUCAUUUGGCAUCAAUAUGUAUGUUUUAGAAAGAAAUGUGGUGUGGUCUGCACUAGUUUACUUUCUCGAUCUUCCUUUUCAGAUGAUGUACGAAUGUUUAAAUACCAUUUGAUCCCAUUCAAACUCUCACACAUAUUUUGUACAUUUUCCAUCACUUCCGUUUUCGAAUUAGUAAAACAUGUCAGUAUGUCAGUAUUGUCCUCGAAAUUUGGAAAAAUGUUUCUGAAAUUAGCAUUCCCUCCCAAACUCACUUCGUCCGAAAAAGUAUGUCCUUCUUGCACAGAUGAUCCCAACACUGGCGACUGAACACCGGAAGGUCCCGGCAGCGGCGACUGCACACCGGAGGGUCCCGGCAGCGGCGACUGAACACCGGAAGGUCCCGGCAGCGGUGACUGAACACCGGAAGGUCCUUGCAGCGACGACUGAACACCGGAAGACCCGGCAGCGGCGACUGAACACCUGAAGGUUCCGGCAGCGGCGACUGAUCUCGCAUUGGUGGUGGUGUCCUGAAGGGUUCAGGUAAAUACAAUACCGUGUCCUCUCCAGGUAAGAUCCUGGUGCGGAGUGGUGGUACUUCGGAGCGUAAGUCGAUGAUAAUUACGUGGAAGGUGAGACAUC
rnacentral:lncRNA from 1 species